rnacentral:rRNA from 1 species
UAAAGUGUUUCCUUUUACAAGUCCAAUCCUGUCUGAUUUUGGAAGCUAAGCAGAGUCAGGCCUGGUUAGUACUUGGAUGGAAGACCACCUAGGAAGACUAGAUACUGUAG